ACGCUCGACACCUACGGGGAGGCAGCAGUAGGGAAUCUUCCACAAUGGGCGCAAGCCUGAUGGAGCAACACCGCGUGAGUGAAGAAGGGUUUCGGCUCGUAAAGCUCUGUUGUUGGAGAAGAACGUGCGUGAGAGUAACUGUUCACGCAGUGACGGUAUCCAACCAGAAAGUCACGGCUAACUACGUACCAGCAGCCGCGGUAAUNUGAGCGGGCUGGCAAGGC
rnacentral:rRNA from 1 species